rnacentral:lncRNA from 1 species
UUCCUCGUGAUUCCCUCUCUCUACCUACAUAUUCACCUUAUAUAAUUCAAACCUUUAAUCUUUUAUUCGUUUUCCUUGCUUCCAUCUAAUCAUGAAAUUUUAUUUAUUUUUUUAUAAAAAUAGAAAAACAAUUACAAAUUUCCAACAAUACAGAACAACUCAAAUGACAAUCAAAAGUUGCAUGGAUAGAGAGACCAGAAACUACUAUCCUUUAUCAAGUUGCUAGAACAUGUC